CCGGCGCACGGGUGAGUAACGCGUAUCCAACCUGCCGUCUACCCUUGGACAGCCUUCUGAAAGGAAGAUUAAUACAAGAUGGCAUCAUGAGUCCGCAUGUUCACAUGAUUAAAGGUAUUCCGGUAGACGAUGGGGAUGCGUUCCAUUAGAUAGUAGGCGGGGUAACGGCCCACCUAGUCUUCGAUGGAUAGGGGUUCUGAGAGGAAGGUCCCCCACAUUGGAACUGAGACACGGUCCAA
rnacentral:rRNA from 1 species